AGGUGAUUGAGUGUGGUAAGCCUUUGUCAUAGGGUAAACGGUUCAUACCCCUGGGCUGUAGGCUGCAAACCUUGGGUCAACUAUUAGGUUCUGUAGCUGUGUAUUUUAUCACAACAAUUCUGUUCUACAAUGGUUAUUUUCCUUAGCUCAGGGUUGUUUUGCCUCUUGAUGGCAGCUGUGGGCAUACAAGCACAACAGACACAUCUAAAUUACCUACACGCUGAAUGCCUUGGUAACGUUAUUCGUUUGAGUGUCGCUCCUCUUGAAGAGGUUGAUGCUGUCUUCAAUGACACACAAAUCAUUAACCUGACACCUGGCCUUGCUACUCAGUGUGGAUUGAGCUUUAAAUUUGACCCCAUGGGGAAUGCCAUGUUUUUUGCUUCUCUACAAAACUGCUUUUCCCAAAACAUGGAUGAUAAGAUGUUCAGCUUGGUCAUGCAGUUCAGGCUGCCAGGAAACCAUAUGACUGAAGACCCUGUGUAUAGAGUGGGCAAAACCUGUAGCUACUCCACCUGGACCUCCCGAGAGAUUCUGUGCGACCGCAACUACAUGGAGGUGUCUGUCAGAAGAACUCUUCCAGACAUCCAAACCAUCCCCGAACAGCCCACUUGGGGCCCGAAAGCAAGGAGCGCCAACUUCCGGAGAGGUGCUGAGGCUGUUGCUUCAGGAUACAAAAUCACAGCUGUCGUCUUUAGUCCUAGCAAGAAGGUCAUGAAUGUGGAUGAGGUCCAAAGAAAGGGCUAUGCAAUAGCCAACACUCCCACACGGCUGGUGUUAAGAAGCCCUCAUAAUGCAGAGGAGACAUACCUCCAGAAUGUAGCUGGGGUUCCGAUGCGGGUGCUCUCAACCUCAACCUUCUUUGAGCAGAAGUGGCUGGUUACUCGAGUAGAUGCCACAGCUGUUUGUCCAACACCAGAGGCAGUGGCCUUUACUCCAGAAGUGAUCACCUGGUACAUGCCCAAGCACAUAGACCCACUUUUCUCCUCUGAUGCCUUCACCAUGUUGGUGUACAUGGGAAUUGAUGCUAAGAGGCUGGACACUGAGGAAAUGGCUGCCAGAAACUACUCGGUUUUAGUCACAGAGGCUCAUAUUAUUGUUGAAAUUCCGGUGGGGGCGGUUGGCGGCUAUUUCAAGAGCCAUAUUCAGGAUGACCAGUACUUUGUCACUUACACCAUUGAGCCCAUGCUUGAGUUGCUGUGGAUCGAGGAGGUCGCACACGAGGACACCAGCUACAAAGUCCUCUUCCCUAUCACAACACCUCCGAUGGCCAGGCCUCCACAAGUUCGCAACUACACGCCCUUAGACACAGUUCCUGAGCAGGCAGUGUUUGUGCUUGAGUUGGGGACUUUCAACCUUGAUGUGGAGCUGCUGAACAUCACCUUUCCCACCAUGGUGCUAACUGUUGCAGAGUGCAACGCCAGAGGCUUCAAUGUUCAGGAGCAGAGAUCCCCGGACAACAACUUGAAGACCUUCAGGAUGGAGGUGCCCUUUUCAGACCCGGUGGUCUUUAAGGAGAGAAGGGCAGAACAAGGUGUCACAACCUUCACUCUUCAGCUGAUCUACGGCCUGGUCAUCUUUCCAGAGUACGCUCCUUUCUCUCACUCUGCCGUUGUGGACGCUGUACUGCUGGACAUUGUGCCACCCUCAGUCACUGGCAACUGUGAUCAGGAGAAGUUCCACAUCACUGUGGACUACAGGAACCAAGAUCCCUUUUUCGUGGUCUUGGUUGGCAAGCGGCUGCUUAACCAUGAGCUUGCUCAACAGUAUUUAACAGAGGGCGACGGAGACUUCACCAUUACGUUGCCCUUCUCUUCGCCGGACGCAGUGUUUGAGUCGGUUCACUCGUCCUCUGUCAGGAGCAGACUGGAUGUUACUCUGUUGAAUCCUUACAACAACAUGACCAUCAAAUACUUUUCCCUGGCUUGCAGCUUCCUCAAAACGCUGACUGAGUGUUUCUCUAACGGAACGAUGACUGCGCUGGCGGUGAAGGUGGAUUCUGUUCCCGGUCUGAACCCCGGUCAGCUGACCCUGAGCGACCCCACCUGUGGUCCCACCUACAGCGACGAUCGCUAUGCCUACUUCCACUUCACCGUCAACUCCUGUGGCACCACCAGGAAGUUUAUCAACAAUGUCAUGCUGUAUGAGAACGAAAUCUCCUUGCCAGAUGAACUGGAGGUGAAGCUGAAUUCCACGAUGUCUUCAGAGGAGGAAUAUCGGUUAAAGGUUUCCUGCUACUAUGUGGUCAACAUCACUCGCACAUUGGCCUUCUUGACCAGGCCACGUGACAACGAGCCAUUUGCCGAGACUGGGACGGGUCGACUAAUGGUCAGAAUGAGACUCUCUCAGGACGCCUCGUAUAACACGUUCCUCCAGGAGGAGGACUAUCCAGUGGUGAGGUACCUGAGACAGCCUCUGCACUUUGAGGUGGAGCUGACCAGGUCCUCUGACCCCAGGGUAGCGCUGGUGCUUGACCACUGCUGGGCCACCCUCAACGAGGCCCGUGACUCCCGACCCCGGUGGAAUCUCAUCAUUAAUGGCUGUGAGAACCCCGAGGAUCCAUACCGUGUGGUCUUCCACCCGGUGGUAGCUGAUGCCAGGGUCCACUUCCCCCCUCACGUCAAACGCUUUGAGGUCUAUAUGUUUUCCUUCGCCGAGGAUGCGGUUGCGCCGAGUGGCCAGGUCUUUGUCCAUUGUGAUGUGGUCAUCUGUGAUGCCAGUAGUCCCUCUAGCGGCCCCUGUAGUGGACAAUGUGUGAAUCAGGACAACCCGAAAAGAGGUCAGUAGCAUGUCUAGCCUGCCAGAAGUUUGAGAGGGCGAAGACUGGCACCGGAGUUGAAGCCCAUCAAAGUUGUUUCACCAUGGGACAUGAUCGACCAACAAGACUGCCAUAGGCAAGUCUUUUGAUACCAGGAAGGGUGGGAGAACAACCUGAAGGUAAUUAUCUUUGCAAACAACAUCAGAAUCCAGGCUGAGUACGGAAAUUAGCCGCAGCUGUUGACUGCGUUAAACGAUGCAAUUGUACAUAAAAAUUAUUGCAUAUACUGUAGUCUUUCAAAUUUGUGAUUGACUUAGUGUUGUUGUUUGUCAAUUGCUAUUUUUGAAUAACGUACUUUCAGAUCACUGAGACCUCACCUGAUGUGGGUUUCAGGCACGGACUGAGAUUGCCCGCUGUUAAUUUAUUUUGUAACACCGCACUAAUCCAUCAAAUUUUCUCCUGUGUGUUUGCUUGUUUACGUCUCUCUCUCCUACCCUGUUCCCUAUAACUCUGCUCUUGUUCUCCAGGAGUUAAGUGUUCCGCCCAAAACCCAGACGUGGAUCCACCUGAUGUCCUCCAUUACAAACCACCCUCCAACUUUUCAUUACAUCAUCUACAGCUACUGUUGUUGUCAUUUUCUGCUAAGAAAGUUCUUGCUCUAUCAUACUGGGCACAUAUUAUGUGAGAUACACAGAUUAACUAAAAAACACUAGCACUACAAACACAGAACAAAGAGAGCAGCAGUGUCUGUACUUUGCAGUCUCACUCUUCAAGUCCCCCUUCGGAGCCUGGCUGCCUGUUGAGAACAAGUGACAGGUAUAAUUCCACACACCAUAAUUCAGAUUUUUAGUCCAUGAUUGCCAUGUGAUUGUACAACAAAUCUGUAAAAAAAAUAAAAUAACUGUAACAAAAACUAUCAAAGUUAAUGUAUUAAAAUAUUAAAUAUUGGCAGGUUGGUUUUCUCA